rnacentral:rRNA from 1 species
AUUGAACGCUGGCGGCAGGCUUAACACAUGCAAGUCGAGCGGGGAAGGGUAGCUUGCUACCUAACCUAGCGGCGGACGGGUGAGUAAUGCUUAGGAAUCUGCCUAUUAGUGGGGGACAACAUUCCGAAAGGAAUGCAAUACCGCAUACGCCCUACGGGGGAAAGCAGGGGAUCUUCGGACCUUGCGCUAAUAGAUGAGCCUAAGUCAGAUUAGCUAGUUGGUGGGGUAAAGGCCUACCAAGGCGACGAUCUGUAGCGGGUCUGAGAGGAUGAUCCGCCACACGGGGACUGGGACACGGCCCAGACUCCUACGGGAGGCAGCAGUGGGGAAUAUUGGACAAUGGGCGCAAGCCUGAUCCAGCCAUGCCGCGUGUGUGAAGAAGGCCUUUUGGUUGUAAAGCACUUUAAGCGAGGAGGAGGCUACUUGGAUUAAUACUCUAGGAUAGUGGACGUUACUCGCAGAAUAAGCACCGGCUAACUCUGUGCCAGCCGCCGCUGUAAUAC